AAGUUCUACAGUCAAACUUGAGGGCAAUGUCUGCAGAAAUACCCCAAAACCGAACUGUGGUUGUUUGUGGUUUGCUAUUGGUGGAUCUCAUAAUCCAGGCCAAAAUGAGCUUCUCCUUCAGCAUCAGGUGAAGCAGUUGCAGAGGGUUUUACAGGAACAGAACGCACUGCUCUCUCUAAUCAGUCCAGGACUGAUUUUAUCUCCCACAUUCUUAGCGCACUGGCAAGCCCAGACACCUCAAAGCUCUUCAGAAGCUGAUCCCCUCAACCCUACUGAGAAUUUAGAUGCCUUCAAGGAAAGCUCAACCAAACCCUCAUAUUCUGGCCAGGCUGAGAAUGAGUCAGAGGCUCUAGCAACUAAUAACAGCAAUGGAAGAUGCCAGUCUGUUCGUGAGUUUACGGACCUCAUUCACAACAACCUUAACAUCCACUUGGUCCAGAGAGGCUUUCCACGUAGCCUUAUUAAAGGGAAAGGUCAAUAUGAAGUCUCCAACACGACAAGGAGGGACGUCUCUGUCCUGAGCCCUGUGGUUCCAUGGGACGGUUGAGGACUUGGGUUUAUGCAUGUGAAGAGAAGAUCCAUAAUAGGCAAGAAGAAAACACUGCCACCACUGCCAAAAUACACCUAAGGAACAUGCCCUGAGAGAGUUUACUAUCAGUGUGAAUGCUGCCAUCUACUGGUUACAACGCAAAACACUGUAGAUGCAGUAGUGCGCUGAUCUGUAGUUAUAGGCUACAUAUAGGCUAUAUACUGUACCAUAAACCGUCAUAUGUUACAUAGCAUUAGUUUAUAUUUAACAUAAGGGAGAAAGCACAACUGAAUACAGUGAGUUACACUGCAGCCUUCAUUGCAGAGACAGAGCAAAUUUAUUACAGUCCAGCUGUUUAUAUUAUGUUGGGGAAUGAAUUCAAACCUGUCAUGGUAACUAAAAUUGGAGGUAGAAUGUCAUGUAAAAUACUCAAUAAUUUCACUGCAUUAUCAGCGCAUUGUUUUGUUUUGUUUUUUUUUACUUAAAACUCUGAUUUUAUUUUAAGUUUAGAUGCUUCUUAUUUAUUUUACAUCAUAAAGUUUCUUUGAUUAAAAUUUUUCUAAAACAAAAAAUGUUUAUCUCCAUUGGCUCAUCCCUGAAUUUUUGUGAUAUAUAUAAUGCGGAAACAGAAUAUUUGUAUAUUAUCUGGUAUCCAAUCACAUGUUUUAAACUUUUUUAUGAGCUGCCAUAAAAAUAUUUAUUGUAAGUUGUGAAUGUCUUAGACACAUAUUUAUCAUCAUUCAGAGAUUAAGUAACCUGAGUUAUUGCCUGUAUUAUAACACAAAUGCACGGAAUGUUAUUCAGUGUAAACAUUACUUUAUUUUGAUUCAUUGUUACAUUGUUUCACUUCUCAUUUUCAGCAUUCUGCCUUUAAUAACAGUAAUAGCCAAUGCUAUAAUGCAUACAAAUUUUGAAACACCAUUUGAGCUUCAGGAAGAGUUUAAUCUGCAAAUGAUUCUUCAUUUUCAUGAUGACUCACUCAGACUAUCUAUACAAGUAUCUCAGGAAGAUCCUCUAUGCAGAAAUGCCCUUUAGAACAUUGCUGAUAAAAGCUGUAAAGAUUGUCUUGCAUGAUAAUCAUAAUCUUGUGCAUGUGUAAAAUAAAUUUUAUUACUCCUAAUUUUA